rnacentral:tRNA from 1 species
GCUUCGGUAGUGUAAUGGAUAAGCACGGCAGAUUAGAUAUGUGUAAGUGCGGGUUCGAGUCCUGUUUGAGGCA